rnacentral:rRNA from 1 species
GAGUGAACGCUGGCGGUAGGCCUAACACAUGCAAGUCGAACGGCAGCACAGUAAGAGCUUGCUCUUACGGGUGGCGAGUGGCGGACGGGUGAGGAAUACAUCGGAAUCUACUUUUUCGUGGGGGAUAACGUAGGGAAACUUACGCUAAUACCGCAUACGACCUACGGGUGAAAGCAGGGGAUCUUCGGACCUUGCGCGAUUGAAUGAGCCGAUGUCGGAUUAGCUAGUUGGCGGGGUAAAGGCCCAUCAAGGCGACGAUCCGUAGCUGGUCUGAGAGGAUGAUCAGCCACACUGGAACUGAGACACGGUCCAGACUCCUACGGGAGGCAGCAGUGGGGAAUAUUGGACAAUGGGCGCAAGCCUGAUCCAGCCAUACCGCGUGGGUGAAGAAGGCCUUCGGGUUGUAAAGCCCUUUUGUUGGGAAAGAAAAGCAGCAGGUUAAUACCCCGCUGUUCUGACGGUACCCAAAGAAUAAGCACCGGCUAACUUCGUG